rnacentral:rRNA from 1 species
AUUGAACGCUGGCGGCAGGCUUAACACAUGCAAGUCGAACGAGUGGCGGACGGGUGAGUAAUGCUUGGGAAUCUAGCUUAUGGAGGGGGGUCAUUACGGGCAACUGUAGCUAAUACCGCGUUCCAUAGGAUGAGGCCAAUUGGGAUUAGGUAGUUGGUGAGGUAAAGGCUCACCAAGCCGACGAUCUCUAGCCGGUCUGAGAGGCUGACCAGCCACACUGGGACUGAGACACGGCCCAGACUCCUACGGGAGGCAGCAGUGGGGAAUAUUGCGCAAUGGGGGCAUCCUGACGCAGCAAUGCCUCGUGAAUGAAGAAGGCCUUCGGGUUGUAAAGUUCUUUCGGUCGCGAGGCGUUAACUACAGAAGAAGCACCGGCUAACUCCGUGCCAGCCGCCGCGGUAAUAC